rnacentral:rRNA from 1 species
AUGCGGGACAAAGCAAAGAUCAAUGUCGACGGAGCUGUAGCUCGGCAUGGCCAUUGUGGAGUGGCAGCAGCAGUAUGCAGGGAUAGCACCGGUCUUUACCUGGGCUAUUCUCUUGUUGUGUAUGCAGGUAUUACUGACCCGACUCUUCUCGAAGCAUUUGCGUGUAAAGAAGCUCUUGCACUUGCAGAGGACCUUGGAAUUCAGAUGAUGCACGUUGCUUCAGAUUGUGAGGAAGUGGUGAAGGACAUUAAGGGGUCGGGAGGAUAUCAUGGUGCCAUCAUUCAGGAAAUAAUUGCUAGGAAAAAUGAUAUGAUUUCAUGUACUUUCACUCAUUAACGUAGAGGUUUUAAUUUUGAAGCGCAUAAUCUCGCCAAGUUUGGUUGUAAUUUAGGUAUAGGUCGUCAUGUUUGGUUGGGGUCUUCUCAUGACCAAAACAUUGUACCUUUAAUUAUUGAGCAGUAA